ACACGACUACAUUAGAUACCCGCGUAGUCCAGGGUGUAAACGCUGCGGGCUUGGUGUUGGAGGCCCUUUGGGGGCAUUCAGUGCCGGAGAGAAGUUGUUAAGUCUGCUACUUGGGGAGUACGUCCGCAAGGAUGAAACUUAAAGGAAUUGGCGGGGGAGCACCGCGACGGGAGGAGCGUGCGGUUUAAUUGGAUUCAACACCGUAAACUCACCAGGGAAGACUGUUACAUGAAGGCCGAGAUGAAGACUCUGCUAGAUUUUCAG
rnacentral:rRNA from 1 species